rnacentral:rRNA from 1 species
GACGAACGCUGGCGGCGUGCCUAACACAUGCAAGUCGAGCGGGGAAAGUUCUUCGGAACUUUUCUAGCGGCGGACGGGUGAGUAACGCGUGAGCAAUCUGUCCCAUACAGGGGGAUAACAACUGGAAACAGUUGCUAAUACCGCAUGAGACCACAGAGCCGCAUGGUUCAAGGGUCAAAGGAGCAAUCCGGUAUGGGGUGAGCUCGCGUCCGAUUAGCUAGUUGGUGAGGUAACGGCCCACCAAGGCGACGAUCGGUAGCCGACCUGAGAGGGUGAUCGGCCACAUUGGAACUGAGACACGGUCCAAACUCCUACGGGAGGCAGCAGUGGGGAAUAUUGCACAAUGGGGGAGACCCUGAUGCAGCGACGCCGCGUGAGCGAUGAAGUAUUUCGGUAUGUAAAGCUCUAUCAGCAGGGAAGAAAAAUGACGGUACCUGACUAAGAAGCACCGGCUAAAUACGUG